CUCCGUUUCUCACGUUUCUUUCUGCAUCUCCCUACUACUACCGCGUGUCUCGACAUCGAGUUCUUCUCUCUCUCCUCUCUUCCCUGCUCCCGUUCCCUUUUCCUCUCUCUCUCUCUCUCUCCUUAGACCCAGACCCCCAUCCCGGCCUAUUAUGUUACCCUACUGCCUCGGGAUACUAUCUUUAACCCCGAAACCCGUUCAAAUUGCGAGCGGCUUUGCGCGCACGUGUAUGAGCGCGCCACUCUCUGUACGUCGCUCUCUCUCUCUCGGCACCCGGAAAGGGAGGAAGGAUGCAAAUCUCACGGGGAAUAAUAGGAAACGAUAGCUCUGAAAGCGUAUGGAAGAUGGAAACUCGAUUUACAAAUCCUUCGAUUCUUCGCGUACGCAUAUAUAUAUAUAUAUUUAUGGAAACGCGUGGACGAUGGAAUAAGAGAAGCAAAAGAAGAGCUAAGAUCGGUUGGCUGAGAAGGGAUGUCGAAAAGCGUCUCUUUCGUCGCGGGAUCUUAGUCGAAGGACGUCGAGGUAAAAGUCUGCUCUUUGAUCUUUCCACGCAAGAGGCAACGACGCGUCGAAAAAAAUGCCUGUUCCCGCGCGUUCUCGAUUGCAAUAGACACCGUGGGCGGAACGCAUUAUUUCUCCGCCGUUUUCUAUAUUCCUCGAAACGAGUAGUCGGCCGAGUUGAGGGGGAGGAGGGGGAUAAUAUCAGAAAACAGUUUCUGGCCUGUUCCUGACGAAAAGAACGAACAGAUUCAGCCGCUUUUUCUACGCGUCCACCUUGGCUGCCUAUAAAACGCACGUCAAACGUGUGGGCCUCGCGAUCCUCUACCGAUCUCUCCCACCACUGCGAAACCACUCUUUCCCCCUUCCUCGCUCCACCACCCUCUCUAAUCCCGACUCACGAAACGGAAAUACUUGGGAAAAAUAGCACCGAGAACGUUGCGCUGAACGUGUUUUUCAUCGCUGCAUACGUAUAAUAUAUAUAAAAUAGAAAAUAUAUUUUCGAAAAUGUAUACGAACGAGCAUGUAUAUAGAAUGUGACAGGGAAUUUAUCUCGUUGAAAAUACUGAUAGAUUGAUGAUUUUUUUUUUCCUCGACGAUCACAUUAAGAGAAAUCCUUCGAGACGUGAAAUAUGGAAACAGGCGCGUCUCUCUUCUCGUACACACGUCGAGGUGGAUAUAUUUCUUCGAAGAUCGAAGUAUCGCGAGCGUGCAUCGUUUGCAGGAUACGUUUCUUCGCGAGUUCGUCGAUCGUUCGAUGAGAUUCUUAUUACUAGUUUCCUGCUGCACGUAUCGCGGUGGCUGGCUCUUUGUAGCAUCUCUCGGUAUCCGGAAGCUUCGACGGCCAACAACAGGGUGCACCUACGUUCCCUCGCAGCCCAUUAUUCCGCUUGUACCGUGAUCUGGAUACUUCCGAAAGUACCACGAAUAAUAAAGAAAAAAAGGAAGAAAGUCUUACAAUUCGAUUACACGACCCCUCUGAUUGCUGAAUACUUGAAAGAUCGGCGACCGGCGUUGCAUCUAGGCUGCAUUACAAAUGCAAAGAGCGUGCAGUCGCGCGUUUGCAUCUCCAGACUGGUCUAGCGCGAGUACUUAGCUACUUGGUAGUCAUUAACUCCGUCGUCGGCAGACGCCGUACGACGGAACAUCGGGAGAAUAAAAAAAAGCAUCGCAUCGUUUCAUCAUCUUGAAUAAACGUUGAAUCUUGUCCAUCCACUACUCUCCUGCUCAAAAUCGAGGGGUUUCCUUUACCCGAAACAGGUACGAAGAGAGAUUAAAAAUUACGAUCGAGAGGAAUACAAAAUUGCAACUCGAGCUAAUCGACGUCGCGUUUAAACAAUAAUUAUUGAGCGAUUUAUUAUACUUUCGAGACACCCAAUGUGAAGAAGUACACCGAGAGAAAGAGGCGUCUAUAUUCCCGGACCAAUCCAACGCGUGUGCCUGCCUACGUCGCACGCAUUCUUUUCGUUCGCCAGCGGACAGAGGUCAAGACGACGACGGCCGAAUGGGAAGAAUGCGUGACUCCUCUUCCGUCGUCGCGGACACGACGUGUGCGAGGUCAGUGACCAUCGUGCGCGCACUCUCGGUGGGCGCAACUUCUUGCAAGCGAACGAAGAAAGAGAGAAGAGAGCGAGGGAGAGAGAGAGAGAGAACCUCCUCGAAGAGGAGAACCAACGGGAACAGCAGACACACGAGCAGCCACAGGGACGAGAGGGAAAGAGAGGGAGCGAGGAGAGGGAGGGAGAGAAGUUUUGUGGUGCAAAAUACCCACGAGGAUAUUUAAUGGUCGGCUGAUACCGAAUUUAGAGGCGGGAGGAAGGUAAUGCCGCUGUCUUCUCGACCGGCAAAAGUGUCGGUCCGUAUAAAUUCCGACUGGAGACAGGGAGCCGUUGGAGAGCGUUGGCAGCUCCUCCAGCCAAGGGUACUGGAACUUCGACCCUUUGAUUCCGUGCCUCUUAAUUGAGAUCCGAGCGUAACGAGCAAGCCGCGACCGGCUUGAUUUAUUUUCGGCCCGUAUGCAUAUAUUUUCGCGUAGCUAUCGCGUUGGUUCCUCGAGCCUUUCCUCCACGUUCAGCAUCAAGGUUGAAAGAAGGAAUCUCGAGUAGUUUAUUCCGGGAAGAAAUUGUUGAAAGAAUCGAGAGAGAGAGAGAGAGAGAGGUCUAUAAUACGCGAAAAAUAGGCAAGUAUUCUUCGAGAUAUUACGCAAGGAAUUAUCUGAUAACGACAUGGACGUUGACGGCGACAUGCUCGUAAUGUAUGGCGAUCGAGAAAGUAGGGAUAGUGCAUAUUCUUGAAAUACAGAAGGCGUUAUCGCACGAAAGAUAACCCAGACCGUAGAAAAUUGCCAAAACUGUGCUUUUCCUCUCCUCCCCCACUCCCAAGUGUCGAUAAAACGAUCGGGCGAGAUGAUUUGGUUCAGUGGCAUUGACACGGAUCACAUGGAAGGAGUGGUCUUAUCAAUCGGUAUAAUAAUUACAAUAAUAAGAUAACGAUUGCAACGAGAAUGUAAAUAAGUUGAUACUUCGCGCCUCGAUCGAUUCGUUUGUUUGCGUGUUUCGCGAUAUUACAUAAUCUGAUAAAAAAGGGGGAAAAAGAAGAGAGGAGAAAAAAAUUCGUGAAAUUAGAGCGGACACGCAUCCGGCGGAAACGGUGGGAUUUGGACACGCACGAUUUUCGCAGAAUCGAAUCGAUGAUGGAAAAAAAAAAAAAAAAAAAGGCGAAGAUUUACGAGGAACGUAACAGCGUGGAAUGGAAGCAGAGGAGGCUUGUCGGCAUUGAAAGAGGCGACAACGGAUCGCGUUCGAUGCCACGAAGUGACGUAUCUCGGCCAGUUGGAUGGCAAGGCCGGGCUCGUGUAGCUUUCCGUUGUAAUAAUAAAACGGAUGGGCGUUGUGCAGACCAAUGGAGGAAAAGAAAAGAUCUUGUUUAAAGGAGGGGGCGGAAAAAACACUCGUAACGAGGCAAAACUAAAUAAAAGAAACGAUAAGAGGGAGGAGUGGAGGGGAAGGGAUUAAAAAGCAGAUACGAGAAAUAAUAAAAAUAAUAAUAAAAAGAGAGAGAGAGAGAAAAAAGAAAGGAUGAUCGCGUGACGCGAAGUUUCGUGCGCGUAGAACUACCGCGUUCCGUACUUGAUGCCCGUUCACUUUCUCCGAUAGUACUAGAAACAGCCCACCUCCUCUCCCCUUCCCGCAUCUUCCUGUUCCUCCCCACCAGACCAUAUAUAUCCGCGGGUCUAGGCUAGCUCAGUAGGUCUAGGUCUAGGCUGGCUGCAACGUCGCGUGUGCGUGCAGUAUGCACCGACGAUGCAGCUGCGUGCAUUCGCGCCAACGAGCGCCACGAAUGAACGCGACAACCGGAGGAGAGGAGGCCAUCGUCGGUAUAUUCGUCGUACUCGUUUGCUCUUGCCGUGUUCGUGCCCGCGCUCGUCUCUUGCAACACGGUGCGCAUUAUAUUUAGACGCGGACGUGUGUGCGUGAAUUCGCGUCCGAGAGACCCGCCUCGGUUGGACCAGCGCGUCCGUCGCCGUCUCUUUUUCGCUCUCCUCGCCUCUCUCUCUCUCUCUCUCUCCCCCCUCGCUUUCGCUUUCCCUCCGUCACACCCGUCUCUUUCCAUUCCGAGUGUCGUUCUCCUUUCUCUACGCGCUGCUCUUCAUCUCUCUCUCUGUCCGUAUUUCUCUCUCCGUCCGUCUCUCGGCCCCGCUUUGUUUCUCCGCUGACUGGGACGAAGCGACGAGACAACGGGAAGGAGAGCCGGUCCUCGUGGAGCGGAGUGGAGCGGAGCGGAGCACCGGAAAUGAAUCAUUUGAAAUUGUCAAUUUUCGAGCGUGGUUCAUGCACGGUACGCGUGAGGAGCGUACACGUGCCUACGCAUCAUCCAUGAGGUUGGCCCUCUAUGCAGAGAAACUUAGAGAGAGAGAGAAAAGAGGGUGAAGGGUAAGGAGGAGAGGAGAGGAGGUGUUAACGAUCGGGAGGCGGCGAGAUCACAGAGAGAUGUGUAUUACCGAGGAAGUGCUUCAACACCCGCAGAAAAGAUGGUCAAAAGGACGUUACGUCACACGGUACACGGAUGCUGAUCUGCCGAUCCAUCCGUCCCGGAAUCACCCCGAUACUAGCAUCACUAAUGGCACACGAUUUUCUCCAAGAAAGAAACGUGCACGCUCGAAAGGGAAAUCGCGCGCGUUCCAUUUAAAACGCGCGCGAGAAAAUCGUUUGUGGCCGAGCGAGUGAGAGGAAAAAGGAAAACGGAGGAAGAAGAGAUCGAGCCGAUCCUAUCGAUGCGCGUGACGACGGCCAGGAAGCGAAUCUGGGCCGUUGAAUCAGGGAAAAGCAAGUGGGUCAAGAGAACGAAUGGCUCGGCUGAUGUCGGGCGUCGUUGCGACUUCUGCCGACGAGGAUGACGAAGCCCGACGCCAGGUAUCUUCGUGUAAACGGAGAAUGUGUGCACGCACCACCUCCGCCUCUUUUCUAUGCCUUUUCCCUCCUCCUCCUCCUCCUCCUCUUCCUCCCUUCCCUCAAGUUGGGUAGCUUUGGAACCGCUGCAAGGAGCUCGACACUCCUUUCACUUUGCAUCUACCUGCCACGAGGAAGUCGCAGGAAGGUUCUAUCUCUGUCCCUCAUUUCGAUAGACGUAGCAGACACGCUUCCUGCUGGCGUUCACCGGCGAUGUGGUUACGUGGAAAUCGAGCACGAGCUUGGUUUGACCGAUAUUUCUAGAGCGUCGCCGCUUUUAAUUGGACCGCCUCGUUCUCGCCUCGAAUUCGCCGCAAAUCGCGGCUUGCCGUUUCGAAUGGUGCCGGUCGGUUGUGCAGAUCGAAGUGAAACUUGGUGGGUUUCGUGGGUAAGGUAGGGCAGAGAGAGAAGAGGGUUUGAUAACGAAACACACGAAAUUUCGAGAAUUCUUCGAGAAUCGAGAAAAGAAGCGAAAAAAUUGUUGGAAAUAUGAAAUAGCGAGUAGCAUCAGAAAGAUCGAAUCGAAUCCUUUGUCUCGAUACGUAACUUACGAGUCGCGAUUCGUAAACGAGGUAAAACGGAACGAGAUCAUUAAGAAAAGAAGUAUAUUUUCCCGUUAUUUCUUUUAAACGAAUUCAUUUGCACUAGCAAACUUUAUAGAGAAAUAUCAGAAUCCAUUUUAUUUUAUUUUACUUAAAGACGGUGACAACAUAACCUUACUUUUUAUCUUGGGCGGAAUAGGAAGAAAUCACAGGUUGAAAAUGUUUGGAAAACAAUGUUCUAUCUUCGUGACACUCACCAAGUUGUACUUUUAUCAUCUAUUCUUUUUUAGAGAAACUAUUUUUAUUCAUUUUGAUAUAUAUAUAUAUAUAUAAUUGCACUGUCAAACUCUGCAGAAAUAUCAAGGAACGAUCCAUUCUUUUAUUAUUUUAUUUGUUUUAGUUAAAGACGGUAACAACAUAACCUUACUUUUUAAAAAUUUUCUUAUCUUAUCUUACGUGGAAGAAAAGAAAAGAAAAGACAAACACAGUUUAAAAUGUUUGAAAAACACUGCUCUACUUUCGCGACACUCACGAAGUUGCACUUCGACCAUCUACCGACGCCUUUCGGAAAUAUCUCGAAUCGCAAUUCGAUUAUUCGAUAGUUCUCGGAAGCUUCCACGAUUCGAUCGAGAUCUCGUAAUCCGUGUCGCGGUUUCGUUCGAAUCGCCGCUUAUACAGAACACGGGGCUUAUAGGUCGUAGCAAGAACGAUGACAGGCUCGCGCGGGGAUUAAGGGGUAUUUAUCGGGAUUCGUAAUGCGGUCAAAUCGGUAAAGAGCGCUCUGGUUGUUCGGCCAAAGCGUUACGAGCUAUUUUCACGAAACUGCCGGAAAUAUCAACGAACAAUUUAGAUUGGAACGCUUUGCAUUUCGACAUUGAUUUAUUAAAAAGUUUAUUUCCAUAUUAUUCUAUUUCUUUAUUCUAUUGUUAUUAUCGUAUAUAUCGGAUAUUUGAGUGGCAUUAUUAUACGCGUAUUAGUAAUAAUUUUCUUCUCUAACUAGCGGCCAGAAUCGAUUCUUUCGAAUUUAUCGAUUCUCCUGGAUAUCUUUGAGCGAAAUUAUUUAUCGAGCGUAAUUACCUAAGAGGUCGAGACACUUUCUUUCCUCGUCUGGAUUAAUCGAUACCCGACGAGCCGAAAUAAACCCGAGCCGUAUCGUUAUUGCGUCACGACUAUCGAAUCUCUCUUUCUCGAUAUCUUUCGCGAGAUAUAUUGAAAUUACUAAUUUGGUUUUGCCUUCGAUCGAAAAUUCGCCAAAAUUUUUAGUCGAAUUUACAAGACAACGAUAACGAGGUCAAAGAAAUAUUUCGUUACAUUUUUUUUUUAUCUUCAUUUCCACGAAAAAAAGAGAGAAAAAUCUUAAUCGACAAUUUUCAUUUAAAAUAUUGUGAUUAUAUGUACAGUAUUUAUCAUAAAUUUAAAUUGCUAUUACUUUUUAAAAUAUAUUUUUCGUAACAAAGGUAUUUUUCCAUUAAUAUAUUAAUGAUAUUAAUAAAUUAUCAUCAUUAAUAUUAUUAUUAUUAUUAUUAUUUUCCACAAGCAUUGUACGUAUAACACCGGAUUUCCGGAAUGCAACAAUAUCGAUCGACAUAUUUCCAUAAAAUUUCAUUUAAAAUUUCAAUUUCUCUUGAAACGUUAUAAUGUUGCAAACAUUUGCAAUUCCGGAAUUGAAGAACUUUGCCGCGAUGACUCUUGUGCAACAAUCGCAAUGUUUUUUAGAUUUUAAAAAGCGUCACGACGAAUUACAACAAUAUCGCCAAUAAUAUUUCCCGAUUAAAAUUUCGGAAUCGUUACGCAUCGUUGAUCGUUUAUAUAUAUUUUUGAAUUAUUAGAAUGAAACGAACGCGAAUGAAAUAAUUAAUUUUUCCAAAAAUAUCUUUCCAUCAAUUGAAAGGGCCAGUGAAAUUACGUAAUUAUAUUUCUUUCAAGCGGUACGAUUCUCUAUUCUCGAUGAAACUUACACAGUAACGUAAAAUGAGGCACGUAUCCGCUGGGCCUUUCAAUUAUGAAAUAAGAGACAUGGAAGGAAUCUGGUAUCCUUUUGAUACGUCUGACAAUUCCAGCACAAUUGACAAUAUUAUUGAUCCCAUGCGGGCUUCCCUUUCGAGGAAAGAAUUAUUUCGUUUUAACGAAAUAAAAAAAAAAAAAAAGAAAAAAGGGAAAAGAAAAGAAGAAACUUACGUGUAGGAGGCUGACGAUAAUGCAAGUGUUGCAGACUCUGCGUUUGAUGAUGGUGAUGAUGAUGGGGCGGUCCCAUUGUGGGGCCCAUCGUGUGGUUCCCAUGUUGAUGGUGAGGUGAGCUCCCUCUAUGCGGAUGGUACUGGGAGGGAUGAUGCUGAUGAGGAUGAUAGGAGGGCGGCAGGAAGCCCGCCGUCGACGGAUAAACACCAGGACUGUGACAGGCCGACCUGCCGAGCGCUGCUGUGAACAAUCAAUGAGAAAACUGCGUGUUAUAUUAUUUGAUUUGACAAAUAUUACUUCCUCAUUUCCCUCCACUAAUCCUAUUUCAGAUGAAUUUUUCCCUUUACAAGUAUAAUAUAAAUAUACUAUAUCGUAGUAUUAGGAGAUGUAGGAAAGUUUAAGUUUUAUUUCACCACACUGUAUUUUCACUUCAAUUUCAUCUGACUUAAUUUGCUUUUGAUUUAAUAAUUGAGUAACAUUUUUGCACAUCGAUUCUUGCGUUUGCUUUCUUGGUUUCUUAGAAUCGGUCUAAAGUUGAAUAUAAUAUUUUAAUACAGUGAUCCAUUAUAAAAAUCUGAUGCUACAAAAGUGAUGAUGGAAUAAAUCUGUGAUAGUCAUAUGGCUCGAGACAUAUUGAUGUCUUUUUUAUGUCUCAAUCAGGUUUAUUAAUUUGGAAAAUAUUCUAAAUUUAUAUUAAAUUUAUAAAGAUUCGUUUCUAAACCAAA